rnacentral:rRNA from 1 species
UACGUAGGGUGCAAGCGUUAAUCGGAAUUACUGGGCGUAAAGCGUGCGCAGGCGGUUAUGCAAGACCGAUGUGAAAUCCCCGGGCUUAACCUGGGAACUGCAUUUGUGACUGCAUAGCUAGAGUACGGUAGAGGGGGAUGGAAUUCCGCGUGUAGCAGUGAAAUGCGUAGAUAUGCGGAGGAACACCGAUGGCGAAGGCAGUCCCCUGGACCUGUACUGACGCUCAUGCACGAAAGCGUGGGGAGCAAACAGG